rnacentral:tRNA from 1 species
GGGGAUAUAGCUCAGUUGGUAGAGUGCUUGCCUACUGGGUUCAAUCCUGAGUUCAAUCCCAGCAAAGUCCUGGGUUCAAUCCCCAGCACCACCA